CCCUUAGAUGUUCUGGGCUGCACACGUGCUACACUGAUGCAUUCAACGAGUCUAAAACCUGGUCUGAUAGGGCUGGGUAAUCUUUUGAAUGUGCAUCGUGAUUGGGAUAGAUGAUUGCAAUUCUUCAUCUUCAACGAGGAAUGCCUAGUAAACGCAAGUCAUCAGCUUGCAUUGAUUACGUCCCUGCCCUUUGUACACACCGCCCGUCGCUCCUACCGAUUGAAUGUUCCGAUGAAUACCAUGGACUGAGAGUAUGAAUGGGUUCGCCUAUUUCUGCUUCUCGGGAAGUGGAGUAAAUCUUAACAUUUAGAGGAAGGAGAAGUCGUAACA
rnacentral:rRNA from 1 species